UUAAGUUAUUAAGGGCGCACGGUGGAUGCCUUGGCACUAGAAGCCGAUGAAGGACGUUACUAACGACGAUAUGCUUUGGGGAGCUGUAAGUAAGCUUUGAUCCAGAGAUUUCCGAAUGGGGAAACCCAGCAUGAGUUAUGUCAUGUUAUCGAUAUGUGAAUACAUAGCAUAUCAGAAGGCACACCCGGAGAACUGAAACAUCUUAGUACCCGGAGGAAGAGAAAGAAAAUUCGAUUCCCUUAGUAGCGGCGAGCGAAACGGGAAGAGCCCAAACCAACAAGCUUGCUUGUUGGGGUUGUAGGACACUCUAUACGGAGUUACAAAGGACGACAUUAGACGAAUCAUCUGGAAAGAUGAAUCAAAGAAGGUAAUAAUCCUGUAGUCGAAAAUGUUGUCUCUCUUGAGUGGAUCCUGAGUACGACGGAGCACGUGAAAUUCCGUCGGAAUCUGGGAGGACCAUCUCCUAAGGCUAAAUACUCUCUAGUGACCGAUAGUGAACCAGUACCGUGAGGGAAAGGUGAAAAGCACCCCGGAAGGGGAGUGAAAUAGAACCUGAAACCGUGUGCUUACAAGUAGUCAGAGCCCGUUAAUGGGUGAUGGCGUGCCUUUUGUAGAAUGAACCGGCGAGUUACGAUUUGAUGCAAGGUUAAGCAGUAAAUGUGGAGCCGUAGCGAAAGCGAGUCUGAAUAGGGCGUUUAGUAUUUGGUCGUAGACCCGAAACCAGGUGAUCUACCCUUGGUCAGGUUGAAGUUCAGGUAACACUGAAUGGAGGACCGAACCGACUUACGUUGAAAAGUGAGCGGAUGAACUGAGGGUAGCGGAGAAAUUCCAAUCGAACCUGGAGAUAGCUGGUUCUCUCCGAAAUAGCUUUAGGGCUAGCCUCAAGUGAUGAUUAUUGGAGGUAGAGCACUGUUUGGACGAGGGGCCCCUCUCGGGUUACCGAAUUCAGACAAACUCCGAAUGCCAAUUAAUUUAACUUGGGAGUCAGAACAUGGGUGAUAAGGUCCGUGUUCGAAAGGGAAACAGCCCAGACCACCAGCUAAGGUCCCAAAAUAUAUGUUAAGUGGAAAAGGAUGUGGCGUUGCCCAGACAACUAGGAUGUUGGCUUAGAAGCAGCCAUCAUUUAAAGAGUGCGUAAUAGCUCACUAGUCGAGUGACACUGCGCCGAAAAUGUACCGGGGCUAAACAUAUUACCGAAGCUGUGGAUUGUCCUUUGGACAAUGGUAGGAGAGCGUUCUAAGGGCGUUGAAGCAUGAUCGUAAGGACAUGUGGAGCGCUUAGAAGUGAGAAUGCCGGUGUGAGUAGCGAAAGACGGGUGAGAAUCCCGUCCACCGAUUGACUAAGGUUUCCAGAGGAAGGCUCGUCCGCUCUGGGUUAGUCGGGUCCUAAGCUGAGGCCGACAGGCGUAGGCGAUGGAUAACAGGUUGAUAUUCCUGUACCACCUAUAAUCGUUUUAAUCNNNNNNNNNNNNNNNNNNNNNNNNNNNNNNNNNNNNNNNNNNNNNNNNNNNNNNNNNNNNNNNNNNNNNNNNNNNNNNNNNNNNNCUCGUUAAGGAACUCGGCAAAAUGACCCCGUAACUUCGGGAGAAGGGGUGCUCUUUAGGGUUAACGCCCAGAAGAGCCGCAGUGAAUAGGCCCAAGCGACUGUUUAUCAAAAACACAGGUCUCUGCUAAACCGUAAGGUGAUGUAUAGGGGCUGACGCCUGCCCGGUGCUGGAAGGUUAAGAGGAGUGGUUAGCUUCUGCGAAGCUACGAAUCGAAGCCCCAGUAAACGGCGGCCGUAACUAUAACGGUCCUAAGGUAGCGAAAUUCCUUGUCGGGUAAGUUCCGACCCGCACGAAAGGCGUAACGAUUUGGGCACUGUCUCAACGAGAGACUCGGUGAAAUCAUAGUACCUGUGAAGAUGCAGGUUACCCGCGACAGGACGGAAAGACCCCGUGGAGCUUUACUGUAGCCUGAUAUUGAAAUUCGGCACAGCUUGUACAGGAUAGGUAGGAGCCUUUGAAACGUGAGCGCUAGCUUACGUGGAGGCGCUGGUGGGAUACUACCCUAGCUGUGUUGGCUUUCUAACCCGCACCACUUAUCGUGGUGGGAGACAGUGUCAGGCGGGCAGUUUGACUGGGGCGGUCGCCUCCUAAAAGGUAACGGAGGCGCUCAAAGGUUCCCUCAGAAUGGUUGGAAAUCAUUCAUAGAGUGUAAAGGCAUAAGGGAGCUUGACUGCGAGACCUACAAGUCGAGCAGGGUCGAAAGACGGACUUAGUGAUCCGGUGGUUCCGCAUGGAAGGGCCAUCGCUCAACGGAUAAAAGCUACCCCGGGGAUAACAGGCUUAUCUCCCCCAAGAGUUCACAUCGACGGGGAGGUUUGGCACCUCGAUGUCGGCUCAUCGCAUCCUGGGGCUGUAGUCGGUCCCAAGGGUUGGGCUGUUCGCCCAUUAAAGCGGUACGCGAGCUGGGUUCAGAACGUCGUGAGACAGUUCGGUCCCUAUCCGUCGUGGGCGUAGGAAAUUUGAGAGGAGCUGUCCUUAGUACGAGAGGACCGGGAUGGACAUACCUCUGGUGUACCAGUUGUCGUGCCAACGGCAUAGCUGGGUAGCUAUGUGUGGACGGGAUAAGUGCUGAAAGCAUCUAAGCAUGAAGCCCCCCUCAAGAUGAGAUUUCCCAACUUCGGUUAUAAGAUCCCUCAAAGAUGAUGAGGUUAAUAGGUUCGAGGUGGAAGCAUGGUGACAUGUGGAGCUGACGAAUACUAAUCGAUCGAAGACUUAAUCAA
rnacentral:rRNA from 1 species